rnacentral:rRNA from 1 species
UACGAAGGGGGCUAGCGUUGUUCGGAAUUACUGGGCGUAAAGCGCACGUAGGCGGAUUUGUUAGUCAGGGGCGAAAUCCCGGGGCUCAACCUCGGAACUGCCUUUGAUACUGUGAGUCUCGAGACCGGAAGAGGUGAGUGGAAUUCCUAGUGUAGAGGUGAAAUUCGUAGAUAUUAGGAAGAACACCAGUGGCGAAGGCGGCUCACUGGUCCGGUUCUGACGCUGAGGUGCGAAAGCGUGGGGAGCAAACAGG